rnacentral:rRNA from 1 species
GGGGAAUAUUGGACAAUGGGCGAAAGCCUGAUCCAGCCAUGCCGCGUGAGUGAUGAAGGCCCUAGGGUUGUAAAGCUCUUUCGGCGGGGAAGAUAAUGACGGUACCCGCAGAAGAAGCCCCGGCUAACUUCGUGCCAGCAGCCGCGGUAAUACGAAGGGGGCUAGCGUUGCUCGGAAUCACUGGGCGUAAAGCGCACGUAGGCGGAUCUUUAAGUCGGGGGUGAAAUCCCGGAGCUCAACUCCGGAACUGCCUUCGAUACUGGGGAUCUUGAGUCCGAGAGAGGUGAGUGGAACUCCGAGUGUAGAGGUGAAAUUCGUAGAUAUUCGGAAGAACACCAGUGGCGAAGGCGGCUCACUGGCUCGGUACUGACGCUGAGGUGCGAAAGCGUGGGGAGCAAAC